rnacentral:misc_RNA from 1 species
AGCACCUCCAGGGGUUCACACUCGUCUCUCUCUCUCAAUUCCCUUCCCUCUCCGACACCGGCUACUGCGACGGCGACGCGGCUCCUCUGGGGGCAGGACCACGCGACGGCGCAACCCAGUUCAGAUCUGCAAUAGUACCCACCUCCGGCGUUUGAUCACCUACGCAACAACCUAUCCCGGCGACUCUCGGAUCUGCAACGACCUAACCCUCGGGUCACUAGAUCUGCUACAGACACUCCUCGACGGCCCGAUCUGCGACGGAAAAUCAUUUCGGAGACGAUCGAGACUCACGGUAACUAUCUCAGUGCGUUCGUUCUCCUUCAUUUUCGAUUCAGCAAGAUUCAAGUCGGCAGCGACGUCUUCAGGAACUCGAACCAUUAGGAAUUGAAGCGCAUUAAGGACCAUAGAAGUAUGAAGCCAAUUUUUUGUGGAAACUUCGAGUAUGAUGCUCGGCAGCCUGAUCUGGAAAGACUUUUUAGUCGAUAUGGAAAAGUUGAUAGAGUAGAUAUGAAAUCCGGGUUUGCUUUUAUCUACAUGGAGGAUGAGAGAGAGGCUGAGGAUGCUAUCCGUGCACUCGAUCGGAGAGAAUUUGGCCGAAAGGGCCGCAGACUACGUGUUGAGUGGACCAAACAAGAGCGUGG